CUGCAGUUCUGCCUUCUCUUCUGAAUCCUCAACGUCAGCCUGUGAAGGAAAAGAAAACCAGACAAAAUGCGUGAGUGUAUUUCCAUGCAUGUGGGCCAAGCCGGAGUCCAGAUGGGUAACGCCUGUUGGGAGCUGUACUGCCUGGAGCAUGGGAUCCAGCCGGACGGACAGAUGCCCAGUGACAAGACCCGUGGAGGUGGAGACGACUCCUUCAACACCUUCUUCAGUGAGACCGGAGCCGGAAAGCAUGUCCCCCGUGCCAUCUUCGUUGAUCUGGAGCCCACUGUCAUCGAUGAGGUGAGGACAGGUAUUUAUCGCCAGCUGUUCCACCCUGAGCAGCUGAUCACUGGUAAGGAAGAUGCUGCCAACAACUACGCCCGCGGUCACUACACCAUCGGCAAGGAGAUCAUUGACAUUGUGCUGGACAGGACACGCAAACUGGCUGACCAGUGUACAGGUCUCCAGGGAUUCCUCAUCUUCCACAGCUUCGGAGGAGGCACCGGUUCUGGUUUCACCUCCCUGCUGAUGGAACGUCUGUCUGUCGACUAUGGAAAGAAGUCUAAGCUUGAGUUUGCCGUUUACCCAGCUCCCCAGGUGUCCACGGCUGUGGUGGAGCCCUACAACUCCAUCCUGACCACUCACACCACCCUGGAGCACUCUGACUGUGCCUUCAUGGUGGACAAUGAGGCCAUCUAUGACAUCUGCCGUAGGAACCUUGACAUUGAGCGUCCCUCGUACACCAACCUCAACAGGCUCAUUGGUCAGAUUGUCUCCUCCAUCACUGCCUCCCUGCGUUUCGAUGGAGCCCUUGAAUGUUGAUCUGACAGAGUUCCAGACCAACUUGGUGCCCUACCCUCGUAUCCACUUCCCUCUGGCCACAUAUGCCCCGGUCAUCUCCGCUGAGAAGGCCUAUCACGAGCAGCUGUCAGUCGCUGACAUCACCAACGCCUGCUUCGAGCCGGCCAAUCAGAUGGUGAAGUGUGACCCUCGUCACGGCAAAUACAUGGCCUGCUGUCUCCUGUACCGUGGUGACGUUGUUCCCAAAGAUGUCAACUCUGCUAUCGCUGCCAUCAAAACCAAGAGGAGCAUCCAGUUUGUGGACUGGUGUCCCACUGGCUUCAAGGUGGGUAUCAACUACCAGCCCCCUACGGUGGUUCCUGGAGGAGACCUGGCCAAGGUCCAGAGGGCUGUGUGCAUGCUGAGUAACACCACGGCCAUCGCUGAGGCCUGGGCCCGUCUGGACCACAAGUUUGACCUGAUGUAUGCCAAGAGAGCCUUUGUGCACUGGUACGUUGGUGAGGGCAUGGAGGAGGGAGAGUUCUCUGAGGCCAGAGAAGACAUGGCAGCCCUGGAGAAGGAUUAUGAAGAGGUGGGCACUGACAGCGUGGGAGAAGAGGAUGAGGAGGGAGAGGAAUAUUAAAAGGCUAAACAUGCUUUGCCACCCUACAUUCCAACACUAACUGUUGGAGUCCUACACUUAACAUGACAGCAACACAUUCCCCACUGCAGUGUUAACAGUCUCUGUUCACAUCUCGUCAUGUUGUGUGUAUUCCCAAUAAACACGCCACGUCUCUUGUCUAGACAAAAAAAAAUCGAAUGUGAAACGAGUUUGUUUUUUGGCAAAUCUGUUGAACUUCUGCAGCAGCCGUUAAUGAGUUCUCUGUGAGUAAGUUCUACCAGUCAAUGUAGGAGUUGCGUCAUGGAACUGAACCCACCUGUGCAAAUAUGGUUGUAGCCUACUGAAAUAGAAUAAAUGACACGUGAUGUGUUUCAGGGGUAGACAUCACUGCAUCAUUUUUAGCCUAAGAAUGAUUUUGGUGACAGCUAUUGAUAUUUGGUAGGCAUUAAACUUGAAUACAUUUCUGCCAAACUGGUACAUCAAUGCUGACAUUGUGGAAAGUCUUCCACAGGGAGACUCAAAGUCAAUCUUAAAUUAAUCUUUAUUGCCAGCUCACUGGAAAGGUUCCAUCCAACUCAGUGCACCAUAGUACACGUCAAUCAGGAGCUCUGCCGGGGCAGUCCCGGCAGUUGUCCUAAAAACGGCUAUAUACACACACACACAAGUUAUAUUUG